rnacentral:rRNA from 1 species
CACGUAGGGUGCGAGCGUUGUCCGGAAUUAUUGGGCGUAAAGAGCUCGUAGGCGGUGUGUCGCGUCGGCCGUGAAAACCUGCAGCUUAACUGUGGGCUUGCGGUCGAUACGGGCAUCACUGGAGUUCGGCAGGGGAGAUCGGAAUUCCUGGUGUAGCGGUGAAAUGCGCAGAUAUCAGGAGGAACACCGGUGGCGAAGGCGGAUCUCUGGGCCAUUACUGACGCUGAGGAGCGAAAGCGUGGGGAGCGAACAGG